rnacentral:rRNA from 1 species
CUACGGGUGGCACCAGUGGGGGAUAUUGCACAAUGGGCGAAAGCCUGAUGCAGCAACGCCGCGUGAAGGAUGACGGAUUUCGGUCUGUAAACUUCUAUCAGCAGGGAAGAAAAUGACGGUACCUGACUAAGAAGCCCCGGCUAACUACGUGCCAGCAGCCGCGGUAAUACGUAGGGGGCAAGCGUUAUCCGGAAUUACUGGGUGUAAAGGGUACGUAGGCGGCUGAUCAAGUCAGAUGUGAAAGCCCGGAGCUCAACUCCGGGAUUGCAUUUGAAACUGGUCGGCUAGAGUGCAGGAGAGGAAAGUGGAAUUCCUAGUGUAGCGGUGAAAUGCGUAGAUAUUAGGAAGAACACCAGUGGCGAAGGCGGCUUUCUGGACUGUAACUGACGCUGAGGUACGAAAGCGUGGGGAGCGAACAGGAUUAGAUACCCUUGUAGUC